GGCCUCAUCGACUAAUAGGUUAGGUCAUAGUAACUUCACUGCUGUAACACCGGUUCAAAUCCGGUUGAGGCCA